GACGAACGCUGGCGGCGUGCUUAACACAUGCAAGUCGAACGGAAAGGCCCUGCUUUUGUGGGGUGCUCGAGUGGCGAACGGGUGAGUAACACGUGAGUAACCUGCCCUUGACUUUGGGAUAACUUCAGGAAACUGGGGCUAAUACCGGAUAGGAGCUCCUGCUGCAUGGUGGGGGUUGGAAAGUUUCGGCGGUUGGGGAUGGACUCGCGGCUUAUCAGCUUGUUGGUGGGGUAGUGGCUUACCAAGGCUUUGACGGGUAGCCGGCCUGAGAGGGUGACCGGCCACAUUGGGAAGGAGAUACGGCCCGGAACCCUAGGGGAGGCAGCAGUGGGGAAUUUUGCACAAGGGGCGGAAGCCUGAUGCAGAAACGCCGGGGGCGGGAUGACGGCCUUCGGGGUGUAAACCGCUUUCGCCUGGGAAGAAGGGGGAGUGACGGUAAUGGGUAAAGAAGCACCGGCUAACUACGU
rnacentral:rRNA from 1 species